CCUCUAAAUAACAUCGUGACCUACAGGAGGACCAGCAGCAGCUGCCCCAUGAAGGCCAUUGUAUUUGAGACUAUAAAAGGAAAACAACUCUGUGUGGAUCCUUCAGUUUCAUGGGUCAAAAGUCACAUGAAAGCAGUGGAUCGUAGAAACAAGGCCACGUCAACACCAUAACUUCAAACAUCAGAAUUCAACUGGAAUUUAUCAUUUAUUAUACAACUGACAUCAUUCACACAUUUUUGUUUUUUUUUUAAGAUAAGUAUCACUGUAGCAUCUUCAUGUUGUCAUAUGAAAUGAAAUGCAUGUAAAUUGUACAUGUCUCUAAUAAAUCUCUAAUAAAUCUAUAUAUGUACAGAA